AAUAUCCUCGUUCAACUGGCUCAUCAACAGGCUCAUAACUAAGAUCAUCUGUUAGUUGGAUACUUUGAGGAAGUGCUGAUAAAUGUUGAAGAUGGAUAGCCAGGUGAUCACUCCUUUUACCUUCCAAGUAUAACCGAAUUCCAGUUACCGGCCUGUUUUCAGAGUCUACCUGCAAACAUUAGCAAGAAGAAAGAAAGAAAAUUACACAGCUGCAACCUAUGACAAGGACAUUCCCUAAAUAACAGAUUAUCUGGUUAUGGUUACAUCAAUGUUCAACCCUGUAAGGUCUUAGAGGUGCUGAUUAUAGAAAACAAUCAAUAAAUAGUCACUAUUCUUGGGAAAUUUUUGUUUUUCAUUAAAAGCAAAAAGACGGUUGAAGCAUAGGUUAUCCUUCAGGGGAAGUAAAAAGGGUAGAUUAUCUUAAGUGCAUACACAAGAGUAGAGAUUAAGUAGGCUCUCUAGAAAUUGUUUGGUAGGGCACAAUCACCAAGUCAAGAAAAUGUUCGUCUCUGUUAAUCAAAAAUAGUUUUAAGGAGAAACAAUUUAAAAGUAUGCUACCAAAGCAUAAAACUCAUAAUAAAAAGCACCCUCUUUCUGAAUCUGGAAACUAGCAUGCCAAAACCAGUCUAUGCACACAUUUAAAAGGCAAUGAAAAAGAACUGCUCCUCCCUUUCAAGUGUUGGGAGAAAAGGUAAACUUCUUACUAUAACUAGGUCUCUCUGCUGAUCACCAAAACUUCAAAAUGUUGCUCUUCAAAAUCCAGAUAAAAAAGAAGAUUUCUUGAUGUUCUUGUUCAAACACAUGAAGAUUUACCUUUAUAGUGUUAACGUAUAACCUUGGACCCAUCAAAGUAAACUGCAAAGAUGGAGAGGAUUGUUUUCUGUGACGAUGACCAAGAGGAAGAUCACUAUAUGCUGGAGCCCACUGCCGAGGUAACUGAAAUUCUAAAAAUUGUUCAAGUUCCUCGAUUGGCGGUUUAUCUGCACAAAAAGAUCUUUGCUAUCAGAGAUAUGAAGCAGUUUUUAGUCAAGUAGCUCUAAAUGCAAGAAACUGAAAAUAAAGAUACAAUUGAUGACAUGAAAACGUUCAAUUGCUCAUCCUAAAACAUACAAGGAAGAUAUUCUUUUACAGAAGUUCCAUGCGUUUAAAUUGUGGGACGGCUUCACCGAAUAGGAGUGUAAUAAUCACUGCUCUGCGCCUAUGCGAAGGUCAAGCAACAAAUGGUAGAAUUCAUAACCCAGACCAUUCAGCAGAAGCUGGUGGCGGAAAUUGAGAUGCACACAUUGGAACAGGAAAAUUUCACCAAUCCAUUCUAUUUAACACAUUCCCCAAAAUGCUUGACCCAUUUUCGACAUGAUAGUGCAGGUGUGUAAAUUUGUUAGUAGUCCAGAACAUGAGGUGCUUCUUAGCAGAUUUUCUGUUCUUAUCAAUUUAGUGAUGCUUCUAGUUCUACUAUUCAAUAAACUAACGCACACAGCCUAUUCGUAUUCCAAUGCUUUCUCUUAUAUAUAUAUAUAUAUAUAUAUAUUUUUUCUUUUUNNNACAAUUUAAAUGUAAUUUACAUAUAAUUAAAAUACAACUUAAUACAAUAUAUAUAUAUAUAUAUAUAUAUAUAUAUAUAUAUAGAUAUAGAGAGAGAGAGAGAGAGAGAGAGAGAGAGAAGAAAUAAACAGUUCUACACCUACAUCGAUCACAACUGUCAAUUAAUUUUAUCGGGCUGAAAUGCUGCUCAACAAUCCAAAUAGAUAAGGAAGAACUCAAAGUAAAAGACCACUGGCAAGUGAUUUAUCAAUCUGUCUUCAUCAGGUAAACUAAGGCUCAGAGCUGAUCUCUAACAACAAGAUUUCAGCUCUCCGGCUCUGCAUAUUAUAUUCUUAUUUCCUUCUCAAAUUUCCAAUCCUUUAGUCUGUGGUUCUGGGGUUUGUUAUGUAGGUCAAGGGAGAACAGAAUCAGCUAGAUCUCAUUGAUAUUUGGAUACUCAUUCUAUUCACGGGAAUAUCCAAAAACCCAGGCACACACAACCAAGAGCACCAUCUCCACCACUAUAAUAAAGCAUUUAUUCCGAAAUAGACAUACUCACAUCGCAGGUAAAGAUUAAUUGCAUGGCUUAGAAAUCCACUGCCCCUUACACCACUCAAAAGUGAAGCAAUAGGCACAAAAGACAUUGAUAUGACAUUGGGGGACUGUGAUACAGUAGGAAGCCACUGGCUAUGACUUUGACCAAAAUCAAGACCUCCGCGACGGAUAUGAAUGCUUAGUAGAUCCUGCAUAAAGAAUUCAAAUCCAAAUCCUUCACAAAAAGCUUAUCAUCAGAGCAAAUAGUGAUUCAUUUAAGAGGGAACAAAACAAUCUUACAUCAGCUUUCGAGUGAGACAUAAUAGAUGGUCUUAUUGAGUUUGCAAAUGGUAGAUGAGGAUCUGAGAAUAUGGAUUUUUCCUCCUGUCAUACGUCAAAAAUUUGAAACUGCUGUCAGACGAUUUAUUUUGUUUAAUCUAUGUAAACAAUCCUGUCAUAUGUCAAAAAUUGAAACUGCUGUCAGACAGAUUUAUUUUGUUUAAUCUAUGUGAACAUAUAUGUAAUAAAGUUUUACUAUGACCAUAAUGUCAUCCAUUUUGCUUUUCUUGGAGAAAUCCAUGGGCACGACAUUAUUUACCUUUUAAGUCUGUUUGACUAACCCAUACAUAACUUUGUUCCUUCACAAUUUUGGGGCUUCUGGACUUAGUGGUUCAGUUAUAUUAACAAACAGUACAUUUUGAUCCCUUAACAUCAUUUUGCUUGUCCAGCUUUCUGUACUACACCCUCUUGAAAAGAUUAUAGUAGCAAAUAAAUGUUUCUACAAGAUUCUAAUUUAGCAUUACAUUGUAUCACUUGACAGAAUCAGUGUUGUAGGUUAGGGGCUCAUAGAGUGCUUCGUACGCCUCUCCCGGGGUUGGGUGUGGGACAGCAGGAUUAUCCAUUGAUGAUUUGUGUUUUAGCUUAUGUCCCCCUUAUGGUUGUUAGUAUGGUAAUUACUGUUUGUUAUUAUUGCAUGCGAUUGUAUUUAUGUUUCUUAUGUUUACAUAAUUAUUUACGUUAUUUCUGCGGGAUUUACUAAUGCUUUAUUGUUUUNNNNNNNNNNNNNNNNNNNNNNNNNNNNNNNNNNNNNNNNNNNNNNNNNGCCGAGGGUCGAUUGGAAACAGCCUCUCUGCUCUUUCGGGUAGGGGUAAGGCUCGUCUACAUAUUACCCUCCCCAGACCCCACCUGGUGGGAAUAUAUGUUGUUGUUGUUGUAUUGUAUCACUUGACAUUAUGCCGACCAUGACGCACUAUCGUUAAAAACUAUGAUUUUAAAAUGGGUUGCCUAUCCUCCUAAAUAUUUUGGAAGUGACAGAAUUAGUUUUGCAGGCAAAACACAUCCUCAAAUCAACAAGCAUUGCAGAAUAUCUAAGUUUGAGUGUAUAUUCAUAGUCAGGCCUUAAACAACUUCUUCCACAAUUAUAUGGUAAAACAAAAUGAAACGUUACAGAAUCUAGACAACAAACAUAAAAGGGAGUUGAACUAUUGAAUAAUAUAUAAGAUAUGUGAUACCUUUGGUUUUUCAGAAGAUUUAACAGAGUUUCGCAUCUGGCAUCCAUUUACGUCUUCUGAAAAUUUCUCAUCAGCUAAUUGCUUAAGUAAUUUCUGCACCUCCAUUGGCUGAAGAGUUGAAUUCUGCAGCUGCUUUAUGUGAAUUACAUCCUUGCCUCCCAUCUUUACCCCGACAACAAUAUGGGUGCCAUAUUUUUCGAUGAACCUGAAAAAUCAUGUUAUCGGCCUCAUAGUUAAUAAUUUUCUACCAUUUUCAACAUUAGUUUACAAAAGCAAAGUCAAUAGCAAGUUGUGUUCCUUCAUGAACCAGCCUCGUAAUAAAUUUUCUACCAUUUUCAAUUUUAGUUUACAAAAGCAAAGUCAAUAGCAAGUUGUGUUCCUUCACGAACCAAAAGAAGGGGUAGAAGGUCAGAGUGAAGGAGAUAAAAUCAAAAUCAAAUGCACUAAAAACAAAAAAUUUAAACAACUGUCUUAAGAUAACAAAAAUACUGCUGUUUCUGAGUCAAAAUUUCAGUGCCAUAAUGAUUCUCCUAGAGUUCAUAGGUCAUUCUUUUUCCAUUCCCUUAUAAAUUCACUACUUCUACUGGAUAGGAAAGGCGGAAAGCAUUGCCAGUGGUUUUGGAUAGAAACAGAUAGGAUAGAAUUUUCUCCUUCUUCGACUUACAUAGGAGGAUAGGAAAGAAAUCAAACCAAGAAACAAAAACAUUCCUCUCAUAAUAUCCUAUUGUAGUUCACCAAACAAAAGAAACAAUCUAAACUCUCUAACUCUCUCUCUCUCUCUCUCUCUCUCUCUCUAAAGAAAUCAAACCAAGAAACAAAAACAUUCCUCUCAUACUAUCCUAUUGUAGUUCACCAAACAAAAGGAACAAUAUAAACUCUCUAACUCUCUCUCUCUCUCUCUCUCUCUCUCUCUCUCCUUUUGAUCUUCUAUUCUUUUCCUUCCUUUCCUUAGUUUCCACUCAAACACUAAACGCUCAAUUACAAUACGGGAAAAAUGCUUUUGUAUGAAAAACUUGCAGGCGUGUUAGUUCAGAACUUCCCAAUUCCAAUUCCUCCUACAUCCAAUUUCAUAGAGGAGCAUGUACCAGAUUUCCUUGAGAUUUUGAACGUACACAGAUUUGCAUUUAUACUAUCCUGAUGGACAACAAAAUUGUUAUUCAAAUAACAAUUGAGCGAAAGGUCUUACUCUGCAAGCGCAGAAGGAUCCCACGAAGAAGGCACAUCUUGCUUCACUUGCUCAGAUAGUGUUAGAUGGGAUCUCACUAACUCAAUAUUGUACAAGGUAAUAAACCAACCAUCAAAGGCAAGAAGCUUUGUCGAUGCUGCAUCCUUUUGCCAGCAUCCCUUAUGACCAAACAUCGCAUUAAACAAACCAGAAGGUAUCUUACCAGACAAAGAUAACUCCUGAUUCAAUUGUUCUGACAUCUGAAUGCAAUAAGCAGACGAUAGGGCCGAGAGAUUAGUAAGAAAUGCACAUCGAAGUAGAAAACACUAGAUUGAAUUAUCAAAAAAACACAUACUUCAUUGAGUUUUGCGAACAAGUUUCAACACUAAUCUAAUAGGCACCAAAAAGUCAUUUUACCGAACAGUUAUUAGAUAGAAAGCAUGAUGAUAGCUCAUAGACAAUGGAGAAAAGAACUAACAAUCCAGCGUAGGAAAAGAGAAGAUACCUCUUAAAUUAUUCAAGAGAAAGAAAAAAAAAUAAGGAAAGCACUCCGCAAUCAGCAUAGGUAAAACACGAGCAUCUCACUUAGCAACUCCAAUUUCAACCAUCAAUUUAUUACUGCGGGAUUCCAACUGAUGACGAAUCUACCCAAUUGAUAGAAAUAGAAAGAGUAUGUGCAAUUUCAAUACUUUCCUUAAGCAUUCUAAUUGGAUUAGACGAAUAUGAAUGGAUCCUUAAACCAGUCAUUCAUUGAGCGAUAAGUAACAACAAGUGACAGAGGAUGACGAUUUAGAUAACACAAACAUCCAAUAUUUAAAAAUUGAAUCUAAUCCUAGAAGGAACGUCACGGUGUAACUACACAAUGAGAAUGUCUAUAAACCCCAUACUCAAGCAGUUAUUGUAUCCGCAAACAAGUUGACUGGCCCUGCUCUUGCUACAGCAUUUGCGCGUUUAAAUGCUAUUAUCGUACUAUCAAGCUGAUUAGCUGUCAAAGGUAUUUUAUCCAGCAGUAAAAGGACUGACAAAGUUCCAGAAGCCAAAGAGAUUGAUGUACUUAGUUGUCAUACAAUAACCAAUACUUCAAGAAGUCCAAUUUAAUGGCCAAAUCACAGCAGAUACCUUCACAUGCAACUCCGCAAACCAGGCAAAACUUCAUCCAGUAGUAGAUAGCUCAACGCCUCUAUCCAAAUUGUGAUUAAUUGACCAGAAUUUCCCUAGUACCUACAUUACUUUUUCUUCAAGUAUGAGACUUGAAAUAGCAACACCAAUAAUUCUUUUUCGUUUUGUACGCAUAAGCCAAUUAUCUAGAAAAAAUUAAUUUAACCUUCCAAAAUCAACUAGAUAGGAAGAAAUUCAGAAAAAGAUUCAAUUUUUUUUUCAUUUUCAAGCAAAUUAAAUUUUCCAGAAAUGAAAUUCAGGCAAACCAUCAAAUGAACUGAUAAAAAGUACAAGCUCUUCACUAUCAAUUUUACUCUUUUGUAGCAAAUCAACAGCAAUAGUAAAAAUUCAGUUACCCAAUUCCCUUAUAGGCUAUAGCAACCAUACCAGUAUUAAACAACAACAACAACAACUACUGACCAGUAUAGUACCAUAAAGUGGGGUCUGGGAGGGUAAUCCUUAUCCCUACCGAAAGGUGGCUGUUUCCAAUCGACCUCGGCUUAGCGAAGGAAAGUAAAAAUAAAAACAAAGACAAAAAGCAUACCAGUAUUAAACGGUUAAAAGAAAAAAAAAUUAUAUGAAAAGACAAGUGGAGAAAAAAGCUGAAAGAAGAAAUUACCUGACUAAAAGAGAGAGCAUCAGAGCGAAACCUAGUUCGUUCACCUUUAUCGCACUUGAUUGAAGUCGAAACCUUUGAAACCACCACCCCACCUGGCACCAUUAGGUCCUUGGUCAACUUCUGAUCAACCUCUAUCAAACCCGACCCGCUUGGACCGGGUUUACACGCAGUCAACCGGAUAUCACUCGUCAAAUCAUAACCGAACCCGAUCACUGAGACAGGCACCACUAGGUCCUUGGUCGACUUCUGAUCAACCUCUAUCAAACACAACCCGCUUGGACCGGCUUUACACGCCGUCAACCGGAUAUCGCUCGUCAAAUCAUAACCGAACCCGAUCACUGAGACGGCUUUUUCUGCUGCCGUUUGUGGGUCCAUUCUA
rnacentral:lncRNA from 1 species